ACGAAACAUCUUCAAGUAUCUUCAACCAAGUCCGGAUCCUGUCGUAGGGUCUGAGCCCAGCUCGGUCAGCUGGACCAUCAGGUCUGAUCAUGUUGACAUAAACUCCUUUCUCCAAGAAGCCGUCUGACACACUGAAGCCAAAGUCAUCAAUCUCUGGGUCCUUUACCACUGUUACCUAUAGACAACAAGGAUGUGAUGUUGGCGAAACUGAAGCUUCAUAUUUCAACUCAAUUUAGUUUAAUCCAAGUUUAAACAUGAACGGAAAGCAGUGGCUGUCUGUUUGUUUUUUUUAACCUUAAUCCUUUACUCCUAUGUCAAACAUGUUUGGUCAGCACAGGUUAUCUUGAGGGUCUCUAACACACCAGGGUGAACACAAAGUUAUUACUAACCAACAGGUGUCACAUCAAAUGAUCCAAUGUUCUGUUUAAAAGUUGCCCUUGGAAAAGACUAUAAAGACAACAGCUGAUCACCAGCAUGAAAGGAAAUGAUCGGUCAGUAGUCCUAAUCCAAAAGACACAAAAUAAUUAGCCAACCACUCCCUAUGUCAUCGUGAAUCUUAUUAAACAGUCUCAUCAUAUUCUCAGAGUACGUCUGACAAAAGUUGCAUCAGUGUAGAGUUUUACUUUAGCAUUGCCUGCCAUUGGUCUCACUUGUGGAAGAAGUUAAAAUAAAGACAGACGGCUCUUUCUCACAGAUUUAUGCUGAACUGCCUAAAAUGGCUUCUGGUGCACCGCAAAAGAUACACGCUAUGAUCGGCCACAGACACCAAAUGUUGGCAUGGUGUGUCAGGGCCCAUGAAGUGGAGUUUGGACAUUAAGCCAGCUGUUUGGGACAUUAAACCAAUUUUGGAGAUAUAGCAAGCAUUAUGAUUGUACAUUUUUUAAAGAACACUGACAGAAAAAUCCACCUUUUUUCUUGAUAUUUAGCCAAAAUGGAUAAUGGGGUUUCUGUAUUGUUCUUUUAGGCUGACAGAGCAUACAGGGAAUGGUAUUUAAUUGAUUUAAAAGCAUUAAAGUCUUGUGUUACCACUGCGGUUCUACUGUAUAGGAUAUACUGUACAAUGUUCACCCAUGCUUUACUGAUGCACGAUUAAAUCUAGGAUAAAUGA